rnacentral:rRNA from 1 species
CAGCCCUUGACAUGUCCCGUAUGGGGUCGAGAGAUCGGCUUCUUCAGUUCGGCUGGCGGGAACACAGGUGCUGCAUGGCUGUCGUCAGCUCGUGUCGUGAGAUGUUGGGUUAAGUCCCGCAACGAGCGCAACCCCCAUCUGCAGUUGCCAGCGGUUCGGCCGGUGCACUCUGCAGAAACUGCCGGUGACAAGCCGGAGGAAGGCGGGGAUGACGUCAAGUCCUCAUGGCCCUUAUGGGCUGGGCUACACACGUGCUACAAUGGCGGUGACAGAGGGGCGCGAGGCAGCGAUGCCAAGCCGAUCUCAAAAAGCCGUCUCAGUUCGGAUUGCUCGCUGCAACUCGCGAGCAUGAAGUCGGAAUCGCUAGUAAUCGCGGAUCAGCAUGCCGCGGUGAAUA